AUUGAACGCUGGCGGCAGGCCUAACACAUGCAAGUCGAGCGGAUGAAGGGAGCUUGCUCCUGGAUUCAGCGGCGGACGGGUGAGUAAUGCCUAGGAAUCUGCCUGGUAGUGGGGGAUAACGUCCGGAAACGGGCGCUAAUACCGCAUACGUCCUGAGGGAGAAAGUGGGGGAUCUUCGGACCUCACGCUAUCAGAUGAGCCUAGGUCGGAUUAGCUAGUUGGUGGGGUAAAGGCCUACCAAGGCGACGAUCCGUAACUGGUCUGAGAGGAUGACCAGUCACACUGGAACUGAGACACGGUCCAGACUCCUACGGGAGGCAGCAGUGGGGAAUAUUGGACAAUGGGCGAAAGCCUGAUCCAGCCAUGCCGCGUGUGUGAAGAAGGUCUUCGGAUUGUAAAGCACUUUAAGUGGGGAGGAAGGGCAGUAAGUUAAUACCUUGCUGUUUUGACGUUACCAACAGAAUAAGCACCGGCUAACUUCGUG
rnacentral:rRNA from 1 species